rnacentral:rRNA from 1 species
AGGAAUAUUGGUCAAUGGGCGGAAGCCUGAACCAGCCAAGUCGCGUGGAGGAAGACGGCCCUACGGGUUGUAAACUCCUUUUACCUGGGAAUAACGGGCGCUACGCGUAGCGCUGUGCAAGUACCGGGAGAAUAAGCAUCGGCUAAUUCCGUGCCAGCAGCCGCGGUAAUACGGAAGAUGCGAGCGUUAUCCGGAUUUAUUGGGUUUAAAGGGAGCGUAGGCGGAUUGUUAAGUCAGUUGUGAAAGUUUGCGGCUCAACCGUAAAAUUGCAGUUGAUACUGGCAGUCUUGAGUGCAGUAGAGGUGGGCGGAAUUCGUGGUGUAGCGGUGAAAUGCUUAGAUAUCACGAAGAACUCCGAUUGCGAAGGCAGCUCACUGGAGUGUAACUGACGCUGAUGCUCGAAAGUGUGGGUAUCAAACAGGAUUAGAUACCCUGGUAGUCCACACAGUAAACGAUGAAUACUCGCUGUUUGCGAUAUACUGCAAGCGGCCAAGCGAAAGCGUUAAGUAUUCCACCUGGGGAGUACGCCGGCAACGGUGAAACUCAAAGGAAUUGACGGGGGCCCGCACAAGCGGAGGAACAUGUGGUUUAAUUCGAUGAUACGCGAGGAACCUUACCCGGGCUUAAAUUGCAAAUGAAUUAUGGGGAAACCCAUACGCCGCAAGGCAUUUGUGAAGGUGCUGCAUGGUUGUCGUCAGCUCGUGCCGUGAGGUGUCGGCUUAAGUGCCAUAACGAGCGCAACCCUUAUCUUCAGUUACUAACAGGUCAUGCUGAGGACUCUGGAGAGACUGCCGUCGUAAGAUGUGAGGAAGGUGGGGAUGACGUCAAAUCAGCACGGCCCUUACGUCCGGGGCUACACACGUGUUACAAUGGGGGGUACAGAAGGCCGCUACCUGGUGACAGGAUGCCAAUCCCAAAAACCUCUCUCAGUUCGGAUCGAAGUCUGCAACCCGACUUCGUGAAGCUGGAUUCGCUAGUAAUCGCGCAUCAGCCAUGGCGCGGUGAAUACGUUCCCG